GGGCCGGUAGUCUAGUGGCUAUCUAUAAAGACCGUGCGUUUAAGACGUGGAGAUCGCAAGUUCGAUUCUUGCCCGGCCCA
rnacentral:tRNA from 1 species